rnacentral:rRNA from 1 species
GAUGAACGCUGGCGGCGUGCCUAAUACAUGCGAGUCGAGCGAACGGACGAGAAGCUUGCUUCUCUGAUGUUAGCGGCGGACGGGUGAGUAACACGUGGAUAACCUACCUAUAAGACUGGGAUAACUUCGGGGAACCGUAGCUAAUACCGGAUAAUAUUUUGAACCGCAUGGUUCAAAAGUGAAAGACGGUCUUGCUGUCACUUAUAGAUGGAUCCGCGCUGCAUUAGCUAGUUGGUAAGGUAACGGCUUACCAAGGCAACGAUGCAUAGCCGACCUGAGAGGGUGAUCGGCCACACUGGAACUGAGACACGGUCCAGACUCCUACGGGAGGCAGCAGUAGGGAAUCUUCCGCAAUGGGCGAAAGCCUGACGGAGCAACGCCGCGUGAGUGAUGAAGGUCUUCGGAUCGUAAAACUCUGUUAUUAGGGAAGAACAUAUGUGUAAGUAACUGUGCACAUCUUGACGGUACCUAAUCAGAAAGCCACGGCUAACUACGUG